rnacentral:rRNA from 1 species
GACGAACGCUGGCGGCGUGCUUAACACAUGCAAGUCGAACGGAAAGGCCCUGCUUUUGUGGGGUGCUCGAGUGGCGAACGGGUGAGUAACACGUGAGUAACCUGCCCUUGACUUUGGGAUAACUUCAGGAAACUGGGGCUAAUACCGGAUAGGAGCUCCUGCUGCAUGGUGGGGGUUGGAAAGUUUCGGCGGUUGGGGAUGGACUCGCGGCUUAUCAGCUUGUUGGUGGGUAGUGGCUUACCAAGGCUUUGACGGGUAGCCAGCCUGAGAGGGUGACCGGCCACAUUGGGACUGAGAUACGGCCCAGACUCCUACGGGAGGCAGCAGUGGGGAAUAUUGCACAAUGGGCGGAAGCCUGAUGCAGCAACGCCGCGUGCGGGAUGACGGCCUUCGGGUUGUAAACCGCUUUCGCCUGUGACGAAGCGUGAGUGACGGUAAUGGGUAAAGAAGCACCGGCUAACUACGUG